ACGGGGCGCAGCAGGCGCGAACCCUUUCCAAUGCGCGCAAGCGUGAGAGGGGAACCCAAAGUGCUUAGUUUAACUAAGCUUUUGCCAAGAGUAAAUAUCUUGGAGAAUAAGUGGUGGGUAAGACUGGUGCCAGCAGCCGCGGUAACCCCAGCGCCACAAGCGGCAGUCCCAUUUAUUUGGCCUAAAGCGCCCGUAGCUGAUUAUGUAAAUCUCUUGUGAAAUUGUUCUGCUUAACAGAACAGCGUGCAGGGGACACUGCAUGAUUAGGGACCGGGAGGAGUCAGAGGUAUGCUGAGGGGAGCGGUAAAAUGUUAUAAUCCUCAGUAGACCACCUGUGGCGAAGGCGUCUGACUAAAACGGGUCCGACAGUGAGGGACGAAAGCCAGGGGAGCAAACCGGAUUAGAUACCCGAGUAGUCCUGGCCGUAAACGCUGCGAGCUAGGUGUUGCAUAUUCUUCGAGAAUGUGCAGUGUCGAAGCGAAGGUGUUAAGCUCGCCGCCUGGGAAGUAUGGUCGCAAGACUGAAACUUAAAGGAAUUGGCGGGGGAGCAC
rnacentral:rRNA from 1 species